rnacentral:rRNA from 1 species
GGAUUAGAUACCCCACUAUGCCUGGCCCUAAAUCUAGACACCCGCACACCCGAGUGUCCGCCUGAGAACUACGAGCACAAACGCUUAAAACUCUAAGGACUUGGCGGUGCCCUAAACCCACCUAGAGGAGCCUGUUCUGUAACCGAUAAUCCACGAUUCACCCAACCACCCCUUGCCAGUACAGCCUACAUACCGCCGUCGUCAGCCCACCUGAAAUGAAAGACCAACAGUGGGCUCAAUAGCCCCCGCUAAUAAGACAGGUCAAGGUAUAGCCUAUGGGGUGGGAGAAAUGGGCUACAUUUUCUACCAUAGAAUAGACGGAAAAGGACGUGAAAUUCGUCCUUGGAAGGAGGAUUUAGCAGUAAAAUGGGACCAUAACCCUAAGCCCACUUUAAGCUGGCCCUGGGGCACGUACAUACCGCCCGUCACCCUCUUCA